AACGAACGCUGGCGGCAUGCCUAACACAUGCAAGUCGAACGAGACCUUCGGGUCUAGUGGCGCACGGGUGCGUAACGCGUGGGAACCUGCCCUUAGGUUCGGAAUAACUCCCCGAAAGGGGUGCUAAUACCGGAUAAUGUCUUCGGACCAAAGAUUUAUCGCCUUUGGAUGGGCCCGCGUUGGAUUAGCUAGUUGGUAGGGUAAAAGCUUACCAAGGCGACGAUCCAUAGCUGGUCUGAGAGGAUGAUCAGCCACACUGGGACUGAGACACGGCCCAGACUCCUACGGGAGGCAGCAGUGGGGAAUAUUGGACAAUGGGCGGAAGCAUGAUCCAGCAAUGCCGCGUGAGUGAUGAAGGCAUUAGGGUUGUAAAGCUCUUUUACCCGGGAUGAUAAUGACAGUACCGGGAGAAUAAGCUCCGGCUAACUCCGUG
rnacentral:rRNA from 1 species